rnacentral:misc_RNA from 1 species
UGGUUCUGGCAUCGAUGAAGAACGCAGCGAAAUGCGAUAAGUAGUGUGAAUUGCAGAAUUCAGUGAAUCAUCGAAUCUUUGAACGCACAUUGCGCCCCUUGGUAUUCCAUGGGGCAUGCCUGUUCGAGCGUCAUAUAACCCCUCAAGCUUUGCUUGGUGUUGGGCGUUGUCGUGUGACUCGCCUCAAAAUAAAAAUACUGGCAGUGGCAAAUGGUGCAGCACAUGUACCUGCCCCGUCCGCUAAACCUUUUAUUUGACCUCGGAUCAGGUAGGGAUACCCGCUGA